AACGAACGCUGGCGGCGUGGAUAAGACAUGCAAGUCGAGCGGGAACUUUCGCUGUAGCAAUACAGUGAAAGUUCUAGCGGCGAACGGGUGCGUAACACGUGGACAAUCUGCCUUAAAGUGGGGGAUAGCUCGGCGAAAGCCGAAUUAAUACCGCAUGUGAUGAGAGACGACAUCGUCUUGAAUUCAAAGCCGGGCAACCUGGCGCUUUUUGAGGAGUCCGCGGCCAUCAGCUAGUUGGUGAGUAACGGCUCACCAAGGCUAUGACGGGGUAGCUGGUCUGAGAGGACGACCAGUCACACUGGAACUGAGACACGGCCCAUACUCCUACGGGA
rnacentral:rRNA from 1 species